UUACAUAGCAUAAAAUUAUAUAAGCUAUAAAGUAUUUUACUAGGUGUCUACGGCCAUACCUAGGCGAAAACACCAGUUCCCGUCCGAUCACUGCAGUUAAGCGUCUGAGGGCCUCGUUAGUACUAUGGUUGGAGACAACAUGGGAAUCCGGGGUGCUGUAGGCUUCAUUUCGUUUUUUUUCUUAA